CUUUCGAUUAUGAUUUUGAGAAAUUUGCGUGGGCUAUUGAAAAGAUCGGCUUUGUUUGGGAGCGAUGGAUGGGUCUCGACUCGUCUGCAGCUCGCAUCAUAUUAUAAGAGCAGCUCUUUCGGAUACGGUGGCUACGUGGGUUCUUGUGGUCCUCUUUGGUCCGCUUGUGACCUUGUAGUUCACACCCGUAAUGGUUUGCUGUGUGGUUGGAUCUGGUGCCAUCUUUGCGCUCUUGUUUUUGCUCUCAUGCUGGAGCAAAGGCUGGGCGUGGGGAUGGCAUAUGGGGGGCGGUGUUGAACGAGCGGGAGUUCUAUGAUAUAUUAGUGAUUGCCGUAGCGUGCGUGCGAAUC
rnacentral:misc_RNA from 1 species